UGCUGUGGCCUCCUCAUCACAAAGGGAUCC
rnacentral:piRNA from 1 species